GGCAAGCGUUGUCCGGAAUUAUUGGGCGUAAGCGCGCGCAGGUGGUUCCUUAAGUCUGAUGUGAAAGCCCACGGCUCAACCGUGGAGGGUCAUUGGAAACUGGGGAACUUGAGUGCAGAAGAGGAAAGUGGAAUUCCAAGUGUAGCGGUGAAAUGCGUAGAGAUUUGGAGGAACACCAGUGGCGAAGGCGACUUUCUGGUCUGUAACUGACACUGAGGCGCGAAAGCGUGGGGAGCAAACAGGAUUAGAUACCCUGGUAGUCCACGCCGUAAACGAUGAGUGCUAAGUGUUAGAGGGUUUCCGCCCUUUAGUGCUGCAGCUAACGCAUUAAGCACUCCGCCUGGGGAGUACGGCCGCAAGGCUGAAACUCAAAGGAAUUGACGG
rnacentral:rRNA from 1 species